GUUGCCUCUUAAAUAGAAAUGACCAUCAUAUAUUACGUUAUUGGUAGUCUUAUAUGAUAAGAAGCAUAAAUUAAACAAACCAGUUUAUAACAGCAUGAUGUUCUUUUAUGUCAUUGUGUUACCUGUCUGCUGGCACAUUU
rfam:Daucus carota subsp. sativus cultivar DH1 chromosome 1, whole genome shotgun sequence.